rnacentral:tRNA from 1 species
AUUUUUAUAGCUCAUAAUUAGGGUGUUGUGUUGAAGACACAAAGGAAGUUUAAAACUUAAAAAUG